rnacentral:rRNA from 1 species
GGGUUGUGAGGUUAAGCGACUAAGCGUACACGGUGGAUGCCCUGGCAGUCAGAGGCGAUGAAGGACGUGCUAAUCUGCGAUAAGCGUCGGUGAGGUGAUAUGAACCGUUAUAACCGGCGAUUUCCGAAUGGGGAAACCCAGUGUGUUUCGACACACUAUCAUUAACUGAAUCCAUAGGUUAAUGAGGCGAACCGGGGAACUGAAACAUCUAAGUACCCCGAGGAAAAGAAAUCAACCGAGAUUCCCCCAGUAGCGGCGAGCGAACGGGGAGGAGCCCAGAGCCUGAAUCAGUGUGUGUGUUAGUGGAAGCGUCUGGAAAGGCGUGCGAUACAGGGUGACAGCCCCGUACACAAAAAUGCACAUAUUGUGAGCUCGAUGAGUAGGGCGGGACACGUGGUAUCCUGUCUGAAUAUGGGGGACCAUCCUCCAAGGCUAAAUACUCCUGACUGACCGAUAGUGAACCAGUACCGUGAGGGAAAGGCGAAAAGAACCCCGGCGAGGGGAGUGAAAAAGAACCUGAAACCGUGUACGUACAAGCAGUGGGAGCCUCUUAAUGGGGUGACUGCGUACCUUUUGUAUAAUGGGUCAGCGACUUAUAUUCUGUAGCAAGGUUAACCGAAUAGGGGAGCCGAAGGGAAACCGAGUCUUAACUGGGCGUUAAGUUGCAGGGUAUAGACCCGAAACCCGGUGAUCUAGCCAUGGGCAGGUUGAAGGUUGGGUAACACUAACUGGAGGACCGAACCGACUAAUGUUGAAAAAUUAGCGGAUGACUUGUGGCUGGGGGUGAAAGGCCAAUCAAACCGGGAGAUAGCUGGUUCUCCCCGAAAGCUAUUUAGGUAGCGCCUCGUGAAUUCAUCUCCGGGGUAGAGCACUGUUUCGGCAAGGGGUCAUCCCGACUUACCAACCCGAUGCAAACUGCGAAUACCGGAGAAUGUUAUCACGGGAGACACACGGCGGGUGCUAACGUCCGUCGUGAAGAGGGAAACAACCCAGACCGCCAGCUAAGGUCCCAAAGUCAUGGUUAAGUGGGAAACGAUGUGGGAAGGCCCAGACAGCCAGGAUGUUGGCUUAGAAGCAGCCAUCAUUUAAAGAAAGCGUAAUAGCUCACUGGUCGAGUCGGCCUGCGCGGAAGAUGUAACGGGGCUAAACCAUGCACCGAAGCUGCGGCAGCGACACUAUGUGUUGUUGGGUAGGGGAGCGUUCUGUAAGCCUGUGAAGGUGGCCUGUGAGGGUUGCUGGAGGUAUCAGAAGUGCGAAUGCUGACAUAAGUAACGAUAAAGCGGGUGAAAAGCCCGCUCGCCGGAAGACCAAGGGUUCCUGUCCAACGUUAAUCGGGGCAGGGUGAGUCGACCCCUAAGGCGAGGCCGAAAGGCGUAGUCGAUGGGAAACAGGUUAAUAUUCCUGUACUUGGUGUUACUGCGAAGGGGGACGGAGAAGGCUAUGUUGGCCGGGCGACGGUUGUCCCGGUUUAAGCGUGUAGGCUGGUUUUCCAGGCAAAUCCGGAAAACCAAGGCUGAGGCGUGAUGACGAGGCACUACGGUGCUGAAGCGACAAAUGCCCUGCUUCCAGGAAAAGCCUCUAAGCAUCAGGUAACAUCAAAUCGUACCCCAAACCGACACAGGUGGUCAGGUAGAGAAUACCAAGGCGCUUGAGAGAACUCGGGUGAAGGAACUAGGCAAAAUGGUGCCGUAACUUCGGGAGAAGGCACGCUGAUAUGUAGGUGAAGCGACUUGCUCGUGGAGCUGAAAUCAGUCGAAGAUACCAGCUGGCUGCAACUGUUUAUUAAAAACACAGCACUGUGCAAACACGAAAGUGGACGUAUACGGUGUGACGCCUGCCCGGUGCCGGAAGGUUAAUUGAUGGGGUUAGCGGCAACGCGAAGCUCUUGAUCGAAGCCCCGGUAAACGGCGGCCGUAACUAUAACGGUCCUAAGGUAGCGAAAUUCCUUGUCGGGUAAGUUCCGACCUGCACGAAUGGCGUAAUGAUGGCCAGGCUGUCUCCACCCGAGACUCAGUGAAAUUGAACUCGCUGUGAAGAUGCAGUGUACCCGCGGCAAGACGGAAAGACCCCGUGAACCUUUACUAUAGCUUGACACUGAACAUUGAGCCUUGAUGUGUAGGAUAGGUGGGAGGCUUUGAAGUGUGGACGCCAGUCUGCAUGGAGCCGACCUUGAAAUACCACCCUUUAAUGUUUGAUGUUCUAACGUUGGCCCGUAAUCCGGGUUGCGGACAGUGUCUGGUGGGUAGUUUGACUGGGGCGGUCUCCUCCUAAAGAGUAACGGAGGAGCACGAAGGUUGGCUAAUCCUGGUCGGACAUCAGGAGGUUAGUGCAAUGGCAUAAGCCAGCUUGACUGCGAGCGUGACGGCGCGAGCAGGUGCGAAAGCAGGUCAUAGUGAUCCGGUGGUUCUGAAUGGAAGGGCCAUCGCUCAACGGAUAAAAGGUACUCCGGGGAUAACAGGCUGAUACCGCCCAAGAGUUCAUAUCGACGGCGGUGUUUGGCACCUCGAUGUCGGCUCAUCACAUCCUGGGGCUGAAGUAGGUCCCAAGGGUAUGGCUGUUCGCCAUUUAAAGUGGUACGCGAGCUGGGUUUAGAACGUCGUGAGACAGUUCGGUCCCUAUCUGCCGUGGGCGCUGGAGAACUGAGGGGGCUGCUCCUAGUACGAGAGGACCGGAGUGGACGCAUCACUGGUGUUCGGGUUGUCAUGCCAAUGGCACUGCCCGGUAGCUAAAUGCGGAAGAGAUAAGUGCUGAAAGCAUCUAAGCACGAAACUUGCCCCGAGAUGAGUUCUCCCUGACUCCUUGAGAGUCCUGAAGGAACGUUGAAGACGACGACGUUGAUAGGCCGGGUGUGUAAGCGCAGCGAUGCGUUGAGCUAACCGGUACUAAUGAACCGUGAGGCUUAACCUUACAACGCCGAAG